ACGGAGGGUGCAAGCGUUAUUCGGAAUCAUUGGGUGUAAAGCGCGUGUAGGCGGCUGGGUAAGUUAGAUGUGAAAGCUCUGGGCUUAACCCGGAAAGUGCAUUUAAAACUGCCUGGCUUGAGUCUCGUAGAGGAAGGUGGAAUUCCCAGUGUAGAGGUGAAAUUCGUAGAUAUUGGGAGGAACACCGGUGGCGAAGGCGACCUUCUGGGCGCAGACUGACGCUGAGACGCGAAAGCGUGGGGAGCAAACAG
rnacentral:rRNA from 1 species